GACGAACGCUGGCGGCAUGCCUAACACAUGCAAGUCGAACGAGAUCUUCGGGUCUAGUGGCGCACGGGUGCGCAACGCGUGGGAAUCUGCCCUUUGGUUCGGAAUAACAGUUGGAAACGACUGCUAAUACCGGAUGAUGACGAAAGUCCAAAGAUUUAUCGCCUGAGGAUGAGCCCGCGUAGGAUUAGCUAGUUGGUGUGGUAAAGGCGCACCAAGGCGACGAUCCUUAGCUGGUCUGAGAGGAUGAUCAGCCACACUGGGACUGAGACACGGCCCAGACUCCUACGGGAGGCGGCAGUGGGGAAUAUUGGACAAUGGGCGAAAGCCUGAUCCAGCAAUGCCGCGUGAGUGAUGAAGGCCUUAGGGUUGUAAAGCUCUUUUACCCGGGAUGAUAAUGACAGUACCGGGAGAAUAAGCUCCGGCUAACUCCGUGCCAGCCGCCGCCGUAACAC
rnacentral:rRNA from 1 species